AUAUUUUAAGAUUUUCUGAUCUGAGUGAAAAUAAAUAAAUAAAUCUGUUCUUAUCAGUUUAAUAUUUGAUACGUCCCCUAUCUGGGGACCAUAUAUUAAAUGGAUUUUUGGAACAGGGAGAUGGAAGAAGAGCUUGCUCUGUCCACUCCACGCAUCAACCUGGUAUUGCAGUACCUCCAGGACCGGUGCACCUCUC
ensembl:snRNA U2 U2 spliceosomal RNA